AACGAACGCUGGCGGCAGGCCUAACACAUGCAAGUCGAACGCUCUAGCAAUAGAGAGUGGCAGACGGGUGAGUAACGCGUGGGAACCUUCCCAAUGGUGCAGAAUAGCCCAGGGAAACUUGGGGUAAUACUGCAUAAGCCCUUCGGGGGAAAGAUUUAUCGCCUUUGGAUGGGCCCGCGUCGGAUUAGCUAGUUGGUGAGGUAAUGGCUCACCAAGGCAACGGUCCGUAGCUGGUUUGAGAGAAUGACCAGCCACACUGGGACUGAGACACGGCCCAGACUCCUACGGGAGGCAGCAGUGGGGAAUCUUGGACAAUGGGCGCAAGCCUGAUCCAGCCAUGCCGCGUGAGGGACGAAGGCCUUAGGGUUGUAAAGCUCUUUUGCCGGGGACGAUAAUGACGGUACCCGGAGAAUAAGUCCCGGCUAACUUCGUGCCAGCCGCCGCGGUAA
rnacentral:rRNA from 1 species